rnacentral:rRNA from 1 species
AUACGGAGGUGGCCAGCGUUGUUCGGAAUUAUUGGGCGUAAAGGGCGCGUAGGCGGCCAAGCAAGUCAGUUGUGAAAUCCCAUGGCUUACCCAUGGACCUGCUGCUGAAACUGCUUGGCUUGAGUCCGGGAGAGGAGAGUGGAAUUCCCAGUGUAGCGGUGGAAUGCGUAGAUAUUGGGAGGAACACCAGUGGCGAAGGCGGCUCUCUGGACCGGUACUGACGCUGAGGCGCGAAAGCUAGGGGAGCAAACAGGAUUAGAAACCCCAGUAGUCC